AUUGAACGCUGGCGGCAUGCCUUACACAUGCAAGUCGAACGGCAGCACGGGAGCAAUCCUGGUGGCGAGUGGCGAACGGGUGAGUAAAGUAUCGGAACGUGCCCAGUCGUGGGGGAUAACGUAGCGAAAGCUACGCUAAUACCGCAUACGAUCUAUGGAUGAAAGCGGGGGAUCGCAAGACCUCGCGCGAUUGGAGCGGCCGAUAUCAGAUUAGGUAGGUGGUGGGGUAAAGGCCCACCAAGCCGACGAUCUGUAGCUGGUCUGAGAGGACGACCAGCCACACUGGGACUGAGACACGGCCCAGACUCCUACGGGAGGCAGCAGUGGGGAAUUUUGGACAAUGGGCGCAAGCCUGAUCCAGCAAUGCCGCGUGCAGGAUGAAGGCCUUCGGGUUGUAAACUGCUUUUGUACGGAGCGAAAAGGCUCUCUCUAAUACAGGGGGCUCAUGACGGUACCGUAAGAAUAAGCACCGGCUAACUACGUGCCAGCCGCCGCAGUAACAC
rnacentral:rRNA from 1 species